CCUACGGGAGGCAGCAGUGAGGAAUAUUGGUCAAUGGACGAGAGUCUGAACCAGCCAAGUAGCGUGAAGGAUGACUGCCCUAUGGGUUGUAAACUUCUUUUAUAUGGGAAUAAAAUGUUCCACGUGUGGGAUUUUGUAUGUACCAUAUGAAUAAGGAUCGGCUAACUCCGUGCCAGCAGCCGCGGUAAUACGGCGGAUCCGAGCGUUAUCCGGAUUUAUUGGGUUUAAAGGGAGCGUAGAUGGAUUGUUAAGUCAGUUGUGAAAGUUUGCGGCUCAACCGUAAAAUUGCAGUUGAAACUGGCAGUCUUGAGUACAGUAGAGGUGGGCGGAAUUCGUGGUGUAGCGGUGAAAUGCUGAGAUAUCACGAAGAACUCCGAUUGCGAAGGCAGUUCACUGGACUGCAACUGACACUGAGGCUCGAAAGUGUGGGUAUCAAACAGGAUUAGAUACCCGAGUAGUC
rnacentral:rRNA from 1 species